rnacentral:rRNA from 1 species
UACAGGGGGGGCAAGCGUUGUUCGGAAUUACUGGGCGUAAAGGGUCUGUAGGUGGCCAACUAAGUCAGACGUGAAAUCCCUCAGCUUAACUGGGGAACUGCGUCUGAUACUGGUUGGCUUGAGUGCAGGAGAGGAAUGCGGAAUUCCAGGUGUAGCGGUGAAAUGCGUAGAUAUCUGGAGGAACACCGGUGGCGAAGGCGGCAUUCUGGACUGCAACUGACACUGAGGCUCGAAAGCGUGGGGAGCAAACAGG